CAGCAGCCGCGGUAAUACGAAGGGGGGCUAGCGUUGUUCGGAAUGACUGGGCGUAAAGGGCGCGUAGGCGGAUGGCACAGUCAGAUGUGAAGGCCCUGGGCUCAACCUAGGAAUUGCAUUUGAUACUGUUUGGCUUGAGUUCGGGAGAGGUGAGUGGAAUUCCCAGUGUAGAGGUGAAAUUCGUAGAUAUUGGGAAGAACACCAGUGGCGAAGGCGGCUCACUGGACCGACACUGACGCUGAGGCGCGAAAGCGUGGGGAGCAAACAGGAUUAGAUACCCGCGUAGUCCCUGUCUCUUAUA
rnacentral:rRNA from 1 species